rnacentral:tRNA from 1 species
GGUGGGAUGGCUGAGUCUGGCUUAAGGCAGCGGUUUGCUAAACCGUGGGCGAAAGCCUCGAGGGUUCAAAUCCUUCUCCCACCGCCA